ACCAAAAGCAAGGCGAUAAGAACCAGAAAGUCGCUGGAGCUGUUCAUCUCAUCACCCAUCACAUCCCCUUCAUCGACCCUGACCAUGUCUCUCUCUCUCUCUCUCUCUCCAGAUUCCCUAUAGUAUGUGGUGGCCGUCGGCACUGUUCGAUAUGAGUACAAAACCUGCCUCACAUUCCAGUUUUCCACCGCAUGUUAGAGGGAGAGAGAAAACCCCUAUAUAUCAUCGACCAAGUACACCAAGUACACUAAUACCUUAAUCAUACCACUCAGAAAGUAAGAGUUUUGGUAUCAGUGAUGCUUUGUUUCAUGUUCUGGCUUUGUGGGGUUAUUUCUGUCUUUACUGACCCAAACCCUAGAUGUUCUUUCAGGGUACCUUUCCUUAAAUGGGUAUUUUGCUUCGUCUUCUCAGAUCUGACUUUGAAAUCUUCUCCCCUUUCUUUUUUCUUUUAUCUCAUGCAUUGGUUAAUUACCCUAUUUGGGAAAGUUGUAAACUUGUGGGGAGAGAAAUAGAGCUGACAGAAGAGAGUGAGCACACAAAGGCUAAUUGUACCGAAGUUACUUGUAUGAUUGUUUUGGGUGCUCACUGCUCUAUCUGUCACCUUCAUUCUUUUGCUUCUCCCUCCUUUCCUUUCCCUUAGGCUGAUACUUUUGUAUCUUGGAUUUGUAUGAUCUGAUUUUUUAUCAAAACUAAACAUUCUUUUUGUGUCUAUACAUGUCUGUAUGUCAAUUCCCUUGGAUUCUUUUGGAAAAAAUAAAGGAUGUGGGUUGUUGAAGAAGCACACCUCACACCUGAAAUAGUCUUGUUAGUGUGUUUGUUUUGGAUUCCAACAAAUAAUAUAAAAUUCUUGUAUUUGAAUAUAAUAUUACUGAUGACUAGUUAAGUAGGGUUUAGUUUGAUGAAAGCGUGACUUUUCAUGGUUUACUGUGCUAAAUCAACUGAAAACUGACGUUAUUAUGCAACUAUCGCCUUAACAAUACGUUAUUUAGAAUGGUCCUCCACCUCUCUUUCUUUUUCCUUUUUAAUUUUUCCUCGCGCAUGCGAUAACUCCCCCCAGAAAUUUUGGGUGUUUGACUGGAUUUUCUGUUCUUGAUUCAGAUCUAUUCCCACACUACUUAAGGUACUAGCUGUUUGACAAAUCUUUCGAUAAUUCUUUUUUGUUUUGGAAACUUCAAGAAGUCGGUUUCUUUUUGUUUAUAGUUUGGGUUUUGUUGGAGAAUCCCCCUCUACUUCUUCCAUUUUCUGUCUUUUUGCAGAUGUAUUAUGUGAACUUCGAAACUAAGUCAAGAUCAUAGAGAAUGCUGAUAUUGAUCCAGAGAAAGUACCAAAAGCAAGAAUAUCACAUUUUCUGCUCCAAUAAGUAUCAUUCGGUCCAGAUGUUGUGGUGCUCCUUGCCAACAUUCAGGGAGAUCCUAUUCCUAAUGACAACUGGCUGAUAAGUAUCCAGCUACUUCUACAUGUAUAAUGGUCAGUUAUAUCUGCUUCUUGAAAUGAUCAGGAUUUGUUGGCAAUGACAAGCAGGUAGGGUGUUAAAUUGGUAUGUUUGGUGUAGCAAUCUUGUAGAUGAUAGUUUUAUGGCUUUGUACUCCUAGCACCUUGCUAGCUCUUUGGCUUAUUUAUUGAAAUAUCCUAUUGCCAUUAAAAAAAGUACUUGUUACUGUUUGUGGGACACAUAGCCCGUGUAAAUGAUAUUGAUUUUUUUUAAACAGCAAGAAUUGGAUUAAAACUAGCAAGAAGCUAGGAAA